ACGACGACCGACCUAGAUACAUGGACGACCGACGUGAUUUAACGACCUAAGAACUAAAUAUAAAAACCGUAAACUAAUCACAACGGCACUGGUUCCACUGCGCUCACUAUUAGCUUUGGUUGUGACAAAUGUAAACUUGUAAACGAUUAAUGUAUUUAUUUAGUACAUUUAGCUGCUUCAUUAUUAUUGUGGGCUCAAGAUUCCUGUUAUUAAGGAAAUGGCUACAUCCACUACAGCUUCCUGUUAUUAAGGAAAUGGAUAUAUCCACUACAGCUUCCUGUUAUUAAGGAAAUGGCUAUAUCCACUACAGCUUCCUGUUAUUAAGGAAAUGGCUAUAUCCACUACAGCUUCCUGUUAUUAAGAAAAUGGCUAUAUCCACUACAUCUUCCUGUUUUUAAGGAAAUGGCUAUAUCCACUACAGAUUCCUGUUAUUAAGGAAAUGGCUAUAUCCACUACAGCUUCCUGUUAUUAAGGAAAUGGCUAUAUCCACUACAGAUUCCUGUUUUUAAGGAAAUGGCUAUAUCCACGACAGCUUCCUGUUAUUAAGGAAUUGGCUAUAUCCACCACAGCUUCCUGUUAUUAAGGAAAUGGCUAUAUCCACCACAGCUUCCUGUUUUUAAGGAAAUGGCUAUAUCCACUACAGCUCCCUGUUAUUAAGAAAAUGGAUAUAUCCACUACAGCUUCCUGUUAUUAAGCAAAUGGCUAUAUCCACUACAUCUUCCUGUUUUUAAGGAAAUGGCUAUAUCCACGACAGCUUCCUGUUAUUAAGGAAUUGGCUAUAUCCACCACAGCUUCCUGUUAUUAAGGAAAUGGCUAUAUCCACCACAGCUUCCUGUUUUUAAGGAAAAGGCUAUAUCCACUACAGCUCCCUGUUAUUAAGAAAAUGGAUAUAUCCACUACAGCUUCCUGUUAUUAAGGAAAUGGCUAUAUCCACUACAGCUUCCUGUUAUUAAGGAAAUGGCUAUAUCCAUUACAGCUUCCUGUUAUUAAAGAAAUGCCUAUAUCCAUUACAGCUUCCUGUUAUUAAAGAAAUGGCUAUAUCCAUUACAGCUUCCUGUUAUUAAAGAAAUGGCUAUAUCCAUUACAGCUUCCUGUUAUUAAAGAAAUGGCUAUAUCCAUUACAGCUUCCUGUUAUUAAAGAAAUGGCUAUAUCCAUUACAGCUUCCUGUUAUUAAAGAAAUGGCUAUAUCCAUUACAGGUUCCUGUUAUUAAAGAAAUGGCUAUAUCCAUUACAGCUUCCUGUUAUUAAAGAAAUGGCUAUAUCCAUUACAGGUUCCUGUUAUUAAAGAAAUGGCUAUAUCCAUUACAGCUUCCUGUUAUUAAAGAAAUGGCUAUAUCCAUUACAGCUUCCUGUUAUUAAAGAAAUGGCUAUAUCCAUUACAGCUUCCUGUUAUUAAAGAAAUGGCUAUAUCCAUUACAGCUUCCUGUUAUUAAAGAAAUGGCUAUAUCCAUUACAGGUUCCUGUGUUGGAAGCAUAUGGUUUGAGAGGUAUAACAACUAUCCUGAUUUCAAGUUUUGACCCAGAAUACUUGUAUUUCACGUUCUUCAUUUAUUUACCAAAUACUGCAGAAUCAAAGACGAUUUAAUGUCCAACUUGUGCACAUCAGUGUUGUGUUGGGGGGGUUUAACUCAUGGUUUAACUUCUUCUUCAGUAACUAGGCUGUAUAAUCUGUUUUGACUUGGUGUUGAACCACGAUUAACACAAAGAGAGUGUUGAUCAAAUCUAGUUGUGCACUUGUAGUAGGCUAGCUUGUCUAUCAACUAGCUGUUUUCUGAAGUGUCUCAAAAUGCUUUGAUCAUGGCUAACACCAAAGGCAAAUCUUCUCAAUACGAGGUGUCAUAAUGACAUCUGACAUGUUGGCAUGCCAACGUCUUAAAAGAAUGUCGUGGCAUUCUUACGAUUCUCCUGAUUUGUACUGAUAUUGUUUGAUUAACGUAACUAUUUCAACGCCUUCUCUCCGUCACCGAAACCAUCUCUCUCUCUCUCCUCUCUCUCUCUCUCUCUCCGUCUCUCUCUCUCUCUCUCUCUCCGUCUCUCUCUCUCUCUGUCUCUCUCUCUGUCUCUCUCUGUCUCUCUCUGUCUCUCUCUGUCUCUCUCUCUCUCCUCUCUCUGUCUCUCUCUGUCUCUCUCUGUCUCUCUCUCUGUCUCUCUCUCUCUCUCUCUGUCUCUCUCUCUGUCUCUCUCCUCUCUCUGUCUCUCUCUCUGUCUCUCUCUCUCUCUGUCUCUCUCUCUGUCUCUCUCUCUCUCUCUCAUAUUCAUCCAUUCAUAUCCUCCUCCUGACCCCUAGCUCCUUGCCGCUCAGAGGCCGCCUAACCCUUGCGGUCUCUUCUCUGU